UACGAAGGGGGCUAGCGUUGCUCGGAAUUACUGGGCGUAAAGCGCACGUAGGCGGAUAUUUAAGUUAGGGGUGAAACUCCCAGGGCUCAACCCUGGAACUGCCUUUAAUACUGGGUAUCUCGAGUCCGAGAGAGUGAGUGGAAUUCCGAGUGUAGAGGUGAAAUUCGUAGAUAUUCGGAGGAACACCAGUGGCUGGAAGGCGGACUCCACUGGCUCGGGUACUG
rnacentral:rRNA from 1 species